UCAAGCGAAUAAGCGCACACGGUGGAUGCCUAGGCGGUCAGAGGCGAUGAAGGACGUGGUAGCCUGCGAAAAGUGUCGGGGAGCUGGCAACAAGCUUUGAUCCGGCAAUAUCCGAAUGGGGAAACCCACUGCUUCGGCAGUAUCCUGCAGUGAAUUCAUAGCUGCUGGAAGCGAACCCGGUGAACUGAAAUAUCUAAGUAACCGGAGGAAAAGAAAUCAACCGAGAUUCCCUAAGUAGUGACGAGCGAACGGGGAGCAGCCCUUAAGCUGGAAUGGCUUUAGAAAAACAAUCUGGAAAGAUUGGCCAUAGAAGGUGAUAGCCCUGUAUUUAAAAGGGCCACUCCAGUGAAGACGAGUAGGGCGGGGCACGUGAAACCCUGUCUGAAUAUGGGGGGACCAUCCUCCAAGGCUAAAUACUCCUGACCGACCGAUAGUGAACCAGUACCGUGAGGGAAAGGCGAAAAGAACCCCGGAGAGGGGAGUGAAAUAGAUCCUGAAACCGUGUGCGUACAAGCAGUAGGAGCUCGCAAGAGUGACUGCGUACCUUUUGUAUAAUGGGUCAGCGACUUACUGUUCGUGGCAAGCUUAACCGUAUAGGGGAGGCGAAGGGAAACCGAGUCUGAUAAGGGCGCAUAGUCGCGGGCAGUAGACCCGAAACCGGGUGAUCUAGUCAUGGCCAGGGUGAAGGUGCCGUAACAGGUACUGGAGGCCCGAACCCACGUCUGUUGCAAAAGACGGGGAUGAGCUGUGAUUAGGAGUGAAAAGCUAAUCGAACCCGGAGAUAGCUGGUUCUCCUCGAAAGCUAUUUAGGUAGCGCCUCAUAUGUAUCCUCUCGGGGGUAGAGCACUGUUAUGGCUAGGGGGUCAUCGCGACUUACCAAACCAUUGCAAACUCCGAAUACCGAGACGGACUGUAUGGGAGACACACGGCGGGUGCUAACGUCCGUCGUGAAAAGGGAAACAACCCAGACCCACAGCUAAGGUCCCAAAUUCACUGCUAAGUGGAAAACGAUGUGGAAAGGCAUAGACAGCCAGGAGGUUGGCUUAGAAGCAGCCACCCUUUAAAGAAAGCGUAAUAGCUCACUGGUCGAGUCGGUCUGCGCGGAAGAUUUAACGGGGCUAAGCAGUGAACCGAAGCUUGGGGUGCAUAAAACUUGUUUUAUGCGCGGUAGAGGAGCGUUCCGUAAGCCUGCGAAGGUGGAUUGAGAAGUCUGCUGGAGGUAUCGGAAGUGCGAAUGCUGACAUGAGUAACGAUAAUGCGGGUGAAAAGCCCGCACGCCGAAAGCCCAAGGUUUCCUUGCGCAACGUUAAUCGACGCAGGGUUAGUCGGUCCCUAAGGCGAGGGCGAAAGCCGUAGUCGAUGGGAAGCAGGUUAAUAUUCCUGCACCUCGCGUGAGUGCGAUGGAGGGACGGAGAAGGUUAGGUGUACCGGGCGUUGGUUGUCCCGGGGAAAGGCGGUAGGUUUGGAUCUUUGGCAAAUCCGGGAUCCUUUAAGACCGAGCACCGAGACGAGCCUUUAUGGCGAAGUCACUGAUACCACGCUUCCAGGAAAAGCUCCUAAGCUUCAGCUCACGAAGACCGUACCGUAAACCGACACAGGUGGGUAGGAUGAGAAUUCUCAGGCGCUUGAGAGAACUCGGGUGAAGGAACUAGGCAACAUGGCACCGUAACUUCGGGAGAAGGUGCACCCUUUUUGGUGGCUCGUGCGAGCUAUAGCUGAAGAGGGUCGCAGAAACCAGGCCGCUGCGACUGUUUAUCAAAAACACAGCACUCUGCAAACACGAAAGUGGACGUAUAGGGUGUGACGCCUGCCCGGUGCUGGAAGGUUAAUUGAUGGGGUCAGCCGCAAGGCGAAGCUCUUGAUCGAAGCCCCAGUAAACGGCGGCCGUAACUAUAACGGUCCUAAGGUAGCGAAAUUCCUUGUCGGGUAAGUUCCGACCUGCACGAAUGGCGUAACGACAGCGGCGCUGUCUCCACCCGAGACUCAGUGAAAUUGAAAUCGCUGUGAAGAUGCAGCGUUCCCGUGGCAAGACGGAAAGACCCCGUGAACCUUUACUAUAGCUUUACACUGAACGUUGAGUUCGUCUGUGUAGGAUAGGUGGGAGGCUAUGAAACUGUGGCGCUAGCUGCAGUGGAGCCAUCCUUGAAAUACCACCCUGUCGUGCUUGACGUUCUAACCUNAGGUCCGUUAUCCGGAUCAGGGACCGUGUAUGGUGGGUAGUUUGACUGGGGCGGUCUCCUCCUAAAGAGUAACGGAGGAGCACGAAGGUACGCUCAGCGCGGUCGGACAUCGCGCACUGUGUGCAAAGGCAUAAGCGUGCUUGACUGCAAGAUCGACGGAUCAAGCAGGUACGAAAGUAGGUCUUAGUGAUCCGGUGGUUCUGUAUGGAAGGGCCAUCGCUCAACGGAUAAAAGGUACUCCGGGGAUAACAGGCUGAUACCGCCCAAGAGUUCAUAUCGACGGCGGUGUUUGGCACCUCGAUGUCGGCUCAUCACAUCCUGGGGCUGUAGUCGGUCCCAAGGGUAUGGCUGUUCGCCAUUUAAAGUGGUACGCGAGCUGGGUUCAGAACGUCGUGAGACAGUUCGGUCCCUAUCUGCCAUGGGCGUUGGAAGUUUGAGAGGGGCUGCUCCUAGUACGAGAGGACCGGAGUGGACGAACCUCUGGUGUUCCGGUUGUCACGCCAGUGGCAUUGCCGGGUAGCUAUGUUCGGAAGCGAUAACCGCUGAAAGCAUCUAAGCGGGAAGCGCGCCUCAAGAUGAGACUUCCCGGGGCACAAGCCCCCUAAAGGAACCAUGUAGACUACGUGGUUGAUAGGUCAGGUGUGUAAGUACAGCAAUGUAUUGAGCUAACUGAUACUAAUGAUCCGUGCGGCUUGACCAU
rnacentral:rRNA from 1 species